AACGAACGCUGGCGGCAUGCCUAACACAUGCAAGUCGAACGAGACCUUCGGGUCUAGUGGCGCACGGGUGCGUAACGCGUGGGAACCUGCCUUUAGGUUCGGAAUAACUCAGAGAAAUUUGAGCUAAUACCGGAUGAUGUCUUCGGACCAAAGAUUUAUCGCCUUUAGAUGGGCCCGCGUUGGAUUAGCUAGUUGGUGGGGUAAAGGCCUACCAAGGCGACGAUCCAUAGCUGGUCUGAGAGGAUGAUCAGCCACACUGGGACUGAGACACGGCCCAGACUCCUACGGGAGGCAGCAGUGGGGAAUAUUGGACAAUGGGCGAAAGCCUGAUCCAGCAAUGCCGCGUGAGUGAUGAAGGCCUUAGGGUUGUAAAGCUCUUUUACCCGAGAUGAUAAUGACAGUAUCGGGAGAAUAAGCUCCGGUUAACUCCGUG
rnacentral:rRNA from 1 species